UUCAAUAUAGACUUGUAAUAGAAAACCCUUUUUGCCCAAGGGUUGUGUCCUAAAUGGUACCUCAGGUCUUUUCAUCUUGUAUUCUCAAAAAAGAAAAAGAAGAAAACCUAACAAUGAAUAAGAGUUCCUGUUUCUCCACAUCCUUGCCAGCAUUUGAUGUUGUCAGUGUUCUGGAUUUCAGCCACUCUAACAGAAGCCACUGGCAGAAACAAGGAGAGAAGAAAGGCGUAACGAAUCAGUGAUGGAACAGGAAGGAAUCAACUGAGGGAAGCAAAGGGCUGCUGAGUCACAAGCAUGACAGGCAACUAGAAUCAGCCCGGGCUCCCCAGAGCUGCUGCUCAUCCUGAACACUGCGGGCUUGCUCAGAAUUUCCUGGCUGUCCUUUCAGACUUCGUGUGCAUCGUGACAAUACACCACUCUCACCUAACGGAAUCUAAGGAUGUCGCUACCCUGAAAUAGCCAAAUAUUCCAGUUGAAUCUAUUUGUUAAAGCUUAGUCAACCAGAUUUGUUUCUAAGGAGACACUGACAAUAAAAAUAAAAAUGAAAAACAGAAAAACAUUAUUUUCCCUGCAUAAAAG
rnacentral:lncRNA from 10 species